rnacentral:rRNA from 1 species
UACGUAGGGGGCAAGCGUUGUCCGGAUUUAUUGGGCGUAAAGAGCGUGUAGGCGGCCAGACAGGUCCGUUGUGAAAACUCGAGGCUCAACCUCGAGAUGUCGAUGGAAACCGUCUGGCUAGAGUCCGGAAGAGGAGUGUGGAAUUCCUGGUGUAGCGGUGAAAUGCGCAGAUAUCAGGAGGAACACCAAUGGCGAAGGCAGCUCGCUGGGACGUGACUGACGCUGAGACGCGAAAGCGUGGGGAGCAAACAGG